GAUGAACGCUAGCGGCAGGCUUAACACAUGCAAGUCGAGGGGCAGCAUGAUUUAACUUUCGGGUUAGAUUGAUGGCGACCGGCGCAAGGGUGCGUAACGCGUGAGCAACUUGCCCUUAUCAGGGGAAUAACCGUUGGAAACGACGACUAAUACCCCAUAGCAUCACUUUUAAGGCAUCUUUUAGUGAUUAAAGAAUUUCGGAUAAGGAUAGGCUCGCGUGACAUUAGCUAGAUGGCGGGGUAACGGCCCACCAUGGCGACGAUGUCUAGGGGUUCUGAGAGGAAGGUCCCCCACACUGGAACUGAGACACGGUCCAGACUCCUACGGGAGGCAGCAGUGAGGAAUAUUGGUCAAUGGUCGAGAGACUGAACCAGCCAUGCCGCGUGAAGGUCACGGCCCUAUGGGUCUUAAACUUCUUUUGUAAGGGAGCAAUAAGGUUCACGUGUGGACUGAUGAGAGUACUUACGAUAAGNAUCGGCUAACUCCGUGCCAGCA
rnacentral:rRNA from 1 species